UAAUAUCUAGAGACAGGAUCAGGCCUCGUAAAUUAUAUGGGCCAAGGGGCUUAUGGUUGAGCCAGUUGCUCCAUGGAUCUCGUACUCGCCCAUUUUUAUCUUUCAUCAUUUCACGGGUGGCUUCGUCCCCUUGCUCGCGCUCCAAGUUCAGUUUGAAAUCAGCAGACUCUUCGCCGGCACUGGCAUUAGAAUUCUCUCUUAUGUGGUCUUGAAGAAUGGAAGCGAUUGAGGCGUCUCGGAGCUCGGAGAUCUGUACAACAGCGGGUGCUUUCGAUGGCUCUGUCAUUUUUCAUACCAUCUAUGAUGUCAUAGGGUUUGUACUUUACAUGCACCAGCAAAUCCCCUCCACAGUGCAGGAUAUGAGUAUUGAAUUCGAUACAAUGCAUUCCGAGUAUAGUCAGUUGGUGUCUGCCCUUGCAGAAACUGAAGUGAAGGCAUCACAGCGGAGAUAUCAUAUUAGCAAGAUGAGGGAUAUCAAACUUGGAAUUAGGAGACUAGAGAAGUUGAUGAAUGCACUUUCAAAUAUGAAAAAUGCGAUUCAGCUGAUUAUCAAAGCGAUUCCCAGCAUAGAGGAAAUUAUUUUGGCCCUUGGAGCUAGUCCACAACGACCUCAGCACAUUUAUGACUUAAGCUUUUCCCAUGGAACAACUGGUCCCUCGGGUGCAAAUGAUUUUGAUAGAAGUAAAGCAGCGGACGGACUUUCAAGAAAGGCAAUAAGGACACUGGUAUCAAAGGGAGCUGGGUCUGUGACCUAUCCAGGUUCGAGUAAACUCUUCCUGUUAAUUAAGGCCCCUUCUUCAUUCAAUCAGCCCCAGCAUUUUCUGCCAAAACGUGAUUUUCGGUAUAACAGAAAGAUUAUGCCAUUCAGACUGCUGUUUAAGUGCCGGAAUCAGUGUCAGGAAGAGGUUGCUUCUACUUCAGAAGAUUUAAUCUGGUUUCAAUGUCGGCAUGUGAUAAAGGGCCUGGCCAUGAACACAACGGCAGAAGAAUGAAAUUCUUUUCUUGACGUUAAAAUGCCCAAAAACAAUGAGAGGUGUAUGUGCUUGUUUGGCAUGAGCGAGUAAUGCUAUGGUGGACAGAGUGAUCAGGCGUGCUUCCCAUCUUAGAGAUGGCACCAACCCCUAUAAAUUGUGGAGUUCAGUACACGCUUCCUUGUCCCUUGUCCCUCGUUCCACCAAGAAUGAGCCCUCAUUUCUUUGUCUUAAAUUAGGAGGUAGAUUGAUGAAAGUUUAAUAUUGAUGCCUGCACUUUACCAUGAGGACUGUCCUUCACAAAGCCCCAAACAUCUUCCGCAAUAUUUCAAGGCUCCCUAGCUCUAAUUUAUUAUAUGUAUUUUCCAUCAUGUUUAAUUAAAGUUAUGAUUAAAAAUUUUGAAAAAAAAAACUGCGGAUAAAUUUUCCCCAUAGAACUUAUGGUUUGGACGUUGGACUUGAGGCUCACAUUUAAAAACAAGCUGAGCCCAACGAAGAUCACCCAUACUCUCAACUAAAUAUAUGCGUAAAAUGCUUCGUGUC